CGCGUAGGCGGCCACCGCAAGUCAGUUGUGAAAUCUCUGGGCUUAACCCAGAAAGGUCAACUGAUACUGCGGGGCUAGAGUGCAGAAGGGGCAACUGGAAUUCUCGGUGUAGCGGUGAAAUGCGUAGAUAUCGAGAGGAACACCUGCGGCGAAGGCGGGUUGCUGGGCUGACACUGACGCUGAGGCGCGAAAGCUAGGGAGCGAACG
rnacentral:rRNA from 1 species